rnacentral:siRNA from 1 species
GGUUCGUUGGCCUCAAUCUGCUCC